AGGGCAUAAUUUCCCUCCGAGGGUUGUGGUUAGGUAGAGGAGAAAGGGUUCAUAGCUGUUAUUGUGGAAACAUCAUAGAGCCCCCGAUAACAAUAACUAUUAUUUAUGGAGCACUCACUAAUGUGAUAAGCUUAUUAAUUUAUGGUGUAAUUUUCAUAUUAAAAAUUCCUUAAUAUAUUUUU
ensembl:misc_RNA